rnacentral:rRNA from 1 species
GACGAACGCUGGCGGCGUGCUUAACACAUACAAGUCGAGCGAUGAAACACCUUCGGGUGCGGAUUAGCGGCGAACGGGUGAGGAACACGUGAGGAAUCUGCCUUCCACUCUGGGAUAACUCCGGGAAACCGGGGCUAAUACCGGAUACUUUCAACUGGCGGCAUCGCCGGUUGAAGAAAGUUUUUCGGUGGAAGAUGACCUCGCGGCCUAUCAGCUUGUUGGUGAGGUAAAGGCUCACCAAGGCGACGACGGGUAGCCGGCCUGAGAGGGCGAACGGCCACACUGGGACUGAGACACGGCCCAGACUCCUACGGGAGGCAGCAGUGGGGAAUAUUGGGCAAUGGAGGAAACUCUGACCCAGCGACACCGCGUGAGGGAUGAAGGCCUUCGGGUUGUAAACCUCUUUCAGCAGGGAAUAAGCGAAAGUGAAGGUACCUGCAGAAGAAGCACCGGCUAACUAUGUGCCAGCCGCCGCGGUAA